AGAGUUUGAUCCUGGCUCAGGACGAACGCUGGCGGUGUGCUUAAGACAUGCAAGUCGAGCGGUCCCGCAAGGGACAGCGGCGGACGGGUGAGUAACACGUGGAUAACCUGCCCGACUCCCUGGGAUAACAGGCCGAAAGGCCUGCUAAUACCGGGUAAGCUCACAUCACCGCAUGGUGGUGGGAGAAAAGGUCCCGCAAGGGGCUGGGGUUGGAGGGGUCCGCGGUCCAUUAGCUAGUUGGGGGGGUAACGGCCCACCAAGGCGACGAUGGAUAGCCGGCCUGAGAGGGCGACCGGCCACACUGGGACUGAGACACGGCCCAGACUCCUACGGGAGGCAGCAGUCGGGAAUUUUGGGCAAUGGCCGAAAGGGCUGACCCAGCAACACCGCGUGAGUGAAGAAGGCCUUCGGGUUGUAAAGCUCUGUUGCCCGUGAAGAACGGUGCUUUCAGGAAAUGGGAAGCACUUGACGGUAGCGGGAGAGGAAGCUCCGGCUAACUACGUGCCAGCAGCCGCGGUAAUACGUAGGGAGCGAGCGUUGUCCGGAUUUAUUGGGCGUAAAGGGCGUGUAGGCGGCCUGUUAAGUCUGAAGUGAAAACUCGGGGCUCAACCCCGAGCCGGCUUCGGAUACUGGUGGGCUUGAGUGCUCUAGAGGGCAGUGGAAUUCCCGGUGUAGCAGUGAAAUGCGUAGAGAUCGGGAGGAACACCAGUGGCGAAGGCGACUGCCUGGGGAGUAACUGACGCUGAGGCGCGAAAGCUGGGGGAGCAAACGGGAUUAGAUACCCCGGUAGUCCCAGCCGUAAACGAUGAGUGCUAGGUGUAGCGGGUAUCGACCCCCGCUGUGCCGGAGUUAACGCAAUAAGCACUCCGCCUGGGGAGUACGGCCGCAAGGUUGAAACUCAAAGGAAUUGACGG
rnacentral:rRNA from 1 species